UGCGUAGGCGGCGCAGAAAGUAGGGUGUGAAAUCCCUCGGCUCAACCGAGGAACUGCGCCCUAAACUACUGUGCUUGAGGGAGGUAGAGGUGAGCGGAACUUAGGGUGGAGCGGUGAAAUACGUUGAUAUCCUAAGGAACACCGGUGGCGAAAGCGGCUCACUGGACCUCUUCUGACGCUGAGGCACGAAAGCUAGGGUAGCGAACG
rnacentral:rRNA from 1 species